rfam:Capsicum annuum cultivar Zunla-1 chromosome 6, whole genome shotgun sequence
AGAUACUGGUGAGGGCAAUUUCUGAGCAUACCCUUAAAUAUCUCUAAAGCUUGGAAGAGAUUCUCUCAUUCUUUUUGUCUGAAACUCAGAAUCUCACUUCUCAAACU